rnacentral:lncRNA from 1 species
UUUCUGUCUGGGUGGCUGUGCAGUGCAGAGCUGUCUUGUUUUCAAACUGUUAAAUGUGCAUAUUGCUUUGGCCUAUAAAGUGUUGGUCCCACAACUCGCACUGAAAGUUUAGGUUAGUCUCCUUUCUAAUUCAGGGUCUGUAGGACUCUCCGAUACUGUUUAGAAUAACAAGCAGCAACCACGCUGCUCCCCCCAUUCCCUCUUUCCUAAUACCAAGCUUGUGUGCAUCUGUUUGGGGCUUUUCUUUUUUUUCACAGGGGAUGGUUAUGACUUGGCCUGAAUCUCUGAGAAGACCUGAAGGUUUUCUUUGAAGGCUGCUGACCCAAAGCAUUGCAGUACCAGAACGCAAUGCAAGAGAGAGAAAAUGCUCCAGCAAGUGCAAUGGAUAGGAAUAGCAGGAAGUUCCUCAGAGCCCUUGGUCUUGUGCCCUUCCCAGAAGAUCACUCUGGUAUAACCGCAUGAAAUAGACUGUCGUAAACUGGGGCCAACUUAAUAAGAUGAAAAUACUCUACUAGCACAAUGGAAAUGCUAGGAAAAAUUGGAACAUUUUAUUUGACUAGUAGAGUCAAUAGUGGUUUUCUUGUCUGCAAAGAGAGGAGCAAGUAGAACCUAUAAUGCAGGUGAGUUACUGUCUUAAAUGCUCUUAUGCAUGGCUAAAUAGUAUUGAAAGACAAAAAUAUCACAUUCUACAUGAAUACUGAGACUUGGCAGGAAGAAGGAUGGAGAAAAUCUCUUGAAUCUUGUGAUCUUCUCCUUACAUAUUAGUGCUUCCCCUUCCAUUAGAACAUUAGUUGUUUUGGUUCAAAGCAUGGUACGCUGGAGAUUUUAGAGAGUUCAUCUUCACAACAGAUGAGAGUUGGUGAUAAGUUCUCAAAAAGCUCAAUGUCUUAAAAAUCUUCCUAUUUUUAGCAAAUUUAUCUUUGCAGCUUCUGAGAUCAAAUCCCUGGCAAAGCCAAUCCUUGAAAACUGAGCAGAGACCUGAAAUUUCUUAUUUAAUCAAGUCACAUACAAAACAGAGCAAAAAAAAACCCUGCUUGCAUACAUAUCAAGCUUUUCUGCUUAAUCUAUUUUAUAAUGUUUUGCAAUUAACAGGCCAAUGUUCAUCAGCUGAUAAAUAAUUAACAGCUGUUGUUGUUUCUAGGGCAUGACGUAAAAGGCUCACAUAGGACAAAAACUAGCUCGAGUUGUUUGCCAAAACUCUGACCAAACACACAUUUAUAUCUCACAAAAACAAAUUUCUUUGGGAAGAUUGCACUUCAUGGUAUCUCUAAGGGAGUCCUCUUUAUGAGGACGUAUUAGAAGAGAUAUUCAUAUGCUCUUUUCUUUGGCCAGGCAUUAGCAGCUUCUCCUUUUUACUGGUAUUAUUCAGACAAAUCAAGGAGUAAAGCAGAAAAACAAGUUUUUUAUGAUUCACCUUCAAGCCACUGGUAUCUAUAGUUUUCCUGCCAUUACGGACAGAAUUCUUUGAUCUGUGUUCAAAAUCGUCAGAUCUGGGAGAAGUGAGAUCUCACUUUGGUGAGACAUAACCACCCCUGGCGGGUCUGAACAAAUGUAGUGGUCUAGUUUUUACUCAUCCGAAACAAACUAAACAUUGACUUUCUGUUAACUCUGGCUAUAAAUGGGAGACACAAAAAACAGAUCACUUGGGAAUACUCUUUGCAGUUUGCUGACUCUCUUGCAGGAACCCACAACUUUUAUUUGUUUACUUGCAUCAGCUUUGAUGGAAGGUGGGCUCUGUGUGAGCCAUGAAUUCCAAUGAGAGGAGUAUCUACAACUGAAUUCGAACUGAAGCUGUGCUGAGGGUCGUCUUCCAAAGUUUCUCUGAUGUAUUUAAUUUUAUACUACCUAUUCACCAAGCAAUUGCAAGCACUCUUGACUGGAUGGGGUGACUUCUGUUUACAGCACACAGAGUCAUCUAUGAUUAAACCAGUAUGUACCAUGUCUACACAAAAGUUCAAUCUCCAACCUAGAUGAGCAUUCCUCCUACUGUAAAGACUUCUACUGCACUUGAGAAGCACAAUUCCUGACCAUAGCCUUUAUGCAAUAGUCUCAUGCAGUUUUCUAGAUAUCCUAGCUUCAGGCCAAGGAGAAUCAGAAGGAAAGGAGCCAAAUACUUGAACAUGUCUCCAAAUCAAAGUUCUGAAGCUAUUGUAGACAGCUGAAGAUAGAUGGGAUGUAUUUGUGGCAGUGCAUAUCACUGAAGAGGUUUUCUGUAACAUUUUGUGCUAGUUGAAGUUUCCCAAGUGUUGAAAGCUUUGUACCUGGAUAUAUCAGUUUGCUGUAAUACAACCAAGUGACCAAAGUGUGAAAAGCCUAAGGCCAGGUCAGUAUCUGCCAGCAUGGGAUACAGUCUUCCAACCAACUAGAGUUGGCUGGAAGUGUUAAUCGCUGCUAUGUGAGAGCUGAAUGUGCUUGUGGAUUCUUUACCUAUUUUUGAAAUGUGGUCUCAGUCACAACUGUGUUCCUUAGCCAUAAAAUUUUCCGCAUUCUCUCCUGUGCAUACUGACAUCUGUCUCACUUGGGUUCAGCUUCACCUGCCUAUUGUGUGUGUCUCAGCUUAUCUUGCCUCAGCACUGGUCCCUCAUCCUGGUAUUGGUAUGACUGUGUAAGUUGAAAAGUAGAGAUGCAUGUUCUUUGUGCCUUGCCAGCAUAGAGAACACUUACACUUGCUUGCAUGUAAAUACUGAAAGAUCUGGAGGAGUGUCUUGGCUGAUUUGAUACCCCAGGGUAAAGAUACAGGCUCAGACUUUGCUCUGGACUCAUGUUGCCUCUUGCAGGUGAGACUGUCAGUGCCCAGUGUAAGGAGUGAUACAUAAAUGCAGUGAGACCUAGAAGGAUCUUUCCGUUUCCAGGAGAGGACCUCGUGCUUGUGGCAGCAGAGCUGCUUCAGCUGUGGGUCUGGUGUGAGUCCAGUUUGUGCUAGGCUAGCACCUUUCCGUAUCACACUUUAACUAUUUGUUCAGCCCAGAGAAGAGAGGCUGAGUGGUAGCCCUACAGCUCCUCAUGGCAGCCCUAUAGGUCUUCAUGACAGCCUGCAGAUCCUCACAGGGAGUGGAGGAGCAGCGCUGAGCUCUGCUCUUUGGUGACAGAGACAGGGCCCAUGGGAACCACAAGGAGCUGCAUUAGACUUCCCCAAAGCCGAAUUGUGCAUCACAUUGCAAGAGCAGACUUCUGUCUUUGAGGAAGGACAGAUUAAAAGAAAAAAUCUCUCCACUCCAGCAAAGCGUGUCCCGUGCUGCUGGCAGUGGGGUCCCACCGCUCUUCCCAAACAUUCCCCAUCCCCCUGAUGCACACAGAGGCCCUUCAGCUCACCCAGCAAAGGAAACGCUGUGCCUUUAACCACCCUCCCCACAACGGGUGCACACUUUUCUGCUUAUUCUGAGCGGACAGGUUUAACAUGUCGCCGGGUAAAUCCGCCUGCGUGGUCACCGGAGAGAGGCACCUCUGGCAAAAGUUCAGAAGUCAGUGUUUUGGAAAGAUUGGUUUGACCAGCUCUCAAGCGAGAGCAAAUCCCAGACCAAGUGCAGUCAAAUCUUCUACGACAUUUAACCGCUGUGGUGCUGUAGUGUGCUGAUAUCCUUUUAACCUGGAAAGGACUUUUUGUCGUGUUUAAACCUCAAAAUUCUAUUUAUUGUUUCUUUUCUGCUCUGCGGGCAGGGGGGACCUGGGCUGGAAACAGUUUGUUUUGACUCAGUUCCAACUAAUUGAUUAGCUUGCCUGUGGUUCUGGCCUCAGAAUACAGGAUAGACCAGCAAUUCUGGAUGUUGCUUUGAUACCCAGACUUCUGUAAAAUAUGGCAUUGCAGUAAGGACAUAUAUUCCCUUAUUGCCUCUUCAGGGUGUUUUAUUAAUCCAAGGCUUUAAAUUUACAGCGUGUCACUUUGAAGAAUUGCCAAUUCACCAACUUUUUCUCAUCCUUUCAUAUUUACUUUCAAGAGAAACAAUCUCUUAAAAAAAAAAAAAAAAAGAGAGAGAGAGCAAGCAAAUAGUUAAUAGUAAGUGGUGCCCAAAUUACAUAUUUCUUAAACUCGUGGCCUACUUUACUAAUCAGUUGUCAUAAGAUGUCAGAUGGGGACCCAUCACUGAAGAAUUGCAGAAUGCAGCCAGUGAAGCAACUAAUUAGUUGGACAGUGGCAUGAAGGUGUGUGUCCCCGAAGAGCUGAAACGAUCAGAGCAGGUGAAGAAAGUUUGGUCAGAGCUGUAUCUCUGUAGUGUAAAGCCCAACCGUUGGCUGAAUCGUGGUGAUGCUGAGGGUGAGGGCAGCGUGGGUCCUCCAUGGGGACUUUGUGCUGCGUGGGACCGCAGUACUGCUGUUUUCAGAAAGAAGCACAAGUCAGCUGCAUGCUUGAAGGAACAUGACCCGAGACGUGCAAGGGCUGGAAUAGCUGAGCAGCUUCUGGGUUUCAUCUGGGAGGGCUGUAGCUGGCUGUCUUGCUCACGGGUGGUUUGUUACUCAGCCUUGGCUCCCCAGCCACAGAAAGAACCAGUGCUGGCUGUUCCCUGUAGGACCAGAUGUACCUGAGAAGGUGGGUGAUGCGGAGAGUCCAGCAGCUCCUGCUGCACCUGAGGACAGAAGGAAGCAGUAAGGGACCCUCAGACCUCUGGGAAAAACAUGUUGAGAGCUAUAAGAUAUCAAAACUUAUCUACUUCUAUAGUUGGCCCAUAUACUCUUUUAACACAGUUUAAAUUGUGUUUUACAAGUGCUGCAUGACUUUCUUCCCUUCAUACCAGCCCUAUAGAGUGGCACCCGAGGGAUGCAGUGGUGAAACAAAUCCUCCCAAGAGCAAGCCCCUCAUCGUGCAGGACCUAAGAGAGGCUCAGCCUGGGAUGCUAGCUUCCCUUCUCAUCAACAGUCAUCUGUUUUCACAGCAGAGGUGAGGAUCAUCCUCUGCCUCCCCUUCUCUGAGCACGUGGAAAACUCCAAACCAGUUACUUGACUUGAGAUGCUUAGUGCAGUGACUCUGGUUGGAAAAUCUCCUCUUCAGCGCUUUGAUUUUCCUGUUGUUGUUGCACACAGCCGGAGCAGUUUCACAAGGUGAUGAGAUGGCAUUGUGCUGUAUUCUGGGUCAUCAAUUGCAGGACAGGUCCUAGCUGAGAAACCAGACACUUGAUGGAGGAUGAAGUUCAUCCCACCAUGUGGCUGCAUGGCACAGGCUGGCGGGUGGCCCCAGAGGAUGCUUGGACAGGUAGCACACACCACACAGCCUGGCAGGAAUGCACUCAGCAAACCCACGUAAAUGCUGUCUGAAGGUGUAAAAGUAAAAGGGCAGAGGUUCUUUUGAUCCUGCUGAAUUCAGGCAGGAUACUUGCUCAAGGGACAGAUUCUUGGUUCCAAAAAAGCUGCUUCGACCUUUGAGCUGCCAAAUUCCUUCCCCCAUUACCUCCCAUCUUUCUCUCCAGUAUAGCACAGCCACUCUGAGUCAUUGUUUAUCUAAUUUAAUUAACAUUUGCCAGUGCCUGCAACCUAAAACACUGUCUUAAAACAUUUGCUUGAAAAGCCUCCUUGUCCCAGAGCUGUCAUUUUUUAGCAUGAUGGAUAAUGGAUAGAAAUAAUUAUCCUGAACAAGGUUAGACAGCUAAAAUGAUUUGAGUUUCAAGGAAUUAGUAAGCUUAGCUAAACAUCUUAUUUUUCAAGACAUAUUAAUAAUAAAAACACAGCGAUGACCAUAAUGUAAAAUCUGCCUUCUGCUAAAACUUGCACUGUUUCUUGCAGGUAGCGGUACCCACAGUGCCUUCACUGAGGGUGGUUUACAUCAGCACAUCAUCUGAUGCAUCACAAAUCCCUCUGUUGAAAGGAUUUUGGUAACUGUGUUCUAGGCAAAAUGCUUCCAGGGCUGUGAGUGCUGGUGUCCAGCUCAGCCCCUCCGAGUGGGAGGGCAAUGCAUACAGGGCACUAUGGAGCAGGUUAAGAUCAUAUCCAUCAGCCACAGGUGUCUCCUAUUCCAGUAUAUCAGCAACCCAGGUGGGUUACAGAGAUAACUGCCUGUCUGAGGAUACAUUCUUACUGCACGGGGUGGCUACAGCCCCUCAUGGGCUGUCUAAACCCACUUAGUCCAUGGCUACCAGUCCUAAAGCCCCAUCCCUUGCAACAGCCCCGGAAAAAGCCAGAAGAAAUUAGAAAGCAGAGGCUUUGUGCAAAUGGAGUGAGCUUCUUCAGGUUUGCAAAGGUUUAACCGAGGGCAGAAUUGGGCUUGCUGCCUCUGCAUUGUUUCCCCAGCCCAUAAUUUUGGGGUAAACUUAAGUUUUGGAAUAAUCAUUGACCUUUAGCUUUGAAGAAAAACAGAACUUCUGCAUGAAAUUGCCAAAAACGAGAGUAACAAUUUGUAAUUGCUUCAUUUUGCUCCUGGAAACGCAGGUGCAGCCGGGCCUCCAAGGUGCUCUGCACAGCAAGGGAGUGGGCUGUUCUCCAGGGAGCACUGAUCCAAGGCAAUAAGGCAGACAAAGCGAGCACAGGGAACACAGGCAGUUGGUGGAGGACUGACAAGUGGUGCACAGUGGGACACAGGAGGCACUCGCUCCCUGCCCCGUGCACUGCAUCAUUACACCUUGCAAAUAACAAACCUCCUCCGUACAGCAGGAUACCCAGACAUGGUGGUGUUCCAUGGAGCAGUGGGCCAUGUCCUGAUGCCCAUGGGCUGCAGUGAGUGGUGCUGGUGGAAGAGCAGAGCCAGCAGUCCUCUGCCCAUGAGCACAGUUGGGAGUAGAGCAGUCUGAGGUCAUAAAUGCACAGAAAUGGUGAAUAUUUCCUCUUCAUUCUUUAUUUUUUUUUAAUCUCAUUCACCCAGUUUUGCAUUCUGGGGGCCUUUAGGCAAAUCCAGUAAAAAUCUUCAUCAAAAAUAGGAUCCCAUUUCUCCGCUGAAAGUGGAUGAGACUUUCCUCUGUAAGCACGGAGAAUUUGCAGACUCACUUAGUAAAGCCCAAAAGUUUCACUUCAAUCCUCACUUUUUAUGUUUCUAAAUUUCUUUUUUAAAGAUCUCUGCAUCAGUGUCGAACGAUUUAAAAUUCCUCUGGCAAAGUACAGUUUUAUUGCUCCAGAGCUAGCAUAAAGCUGAAUGGGUGGCUGUAUUUCAUGCAAGGAGCUGUGGGAGAGUGCAGCUUGCAAAUGGCAAUAGAGCCCAGAAAUUGAACUCUAGCCUUUCUAUUCAGCGCUCUUUUUAUUAUUAAGUCACAGAAUAAGUAAAAUGUUACGGGGACACUUUAAAUCUGCACUUGUUUGUACAGCAUCCAAUGAAUAUGUGAUGGGGAAAGAAGAUGAAAUAUGUGGGGAUGCUGGAAGUAAGGGAAAGAUUGGGCGUUGAAGGAUCAGGUAUGGGAAAUUACAGUGUAGAGCAAAAUCCAUAAUUCUGGCCUGAAAUAGAACACAGCUUUGGGGCAGGUGCCUCUGCCUGGUGGCUCAGGGGAUGGGAGGAGGCAGCAAUAGGAGCUGCCUCCAAUGCAG